rnacentral:miRNA from 1 species
GGUUGGUCAAAAAGUUCAUUUGGGUUUUUCCAUAAGAUCUUAGGGAAAAACUCGAAAGAAAUUUUUGGCCAACC